rnacentral:misc_RNA from 1 species
GAUAAAUACAAGUUGCCACUGAUUACCUUUUAUGUUGCUUUUAAAUAUCUGUGCACAUAAUGAUGAAUAUUUUGUACUGUUCAAAUGUUUACUUCCUUGUCAAGUUGCUCCAUUGAGUGCUUCUGUUAUGCUGAGCCCUACUUCCAUAAUAAAUGUAUUACUGGGGACUCCAAAUCCAAGAUUGAACUCAUUCGAAUAGUGGGUUUUGCCAUGGUUGAGCUUCUUGUACUGUUCACCAAUUUGAACCAUUGGCUUCCUGGGUCGCAAUUGUUAUCUCUACUCAAACACUUGCAAGUAUUUAUAACAAUGGUGUUGUUGGAGUCUACAUCUAGGCAAAUGGCUGUGCCAUUGGCAAUCUUAGACGAAAGAUGCAUUUUAGAAUCUGAGAUGAUAUCCCAUUUUGAAUUACUG